rnacentral:rRNA from 1 species
UAGCGAACCUGCGGAGGUCAUUG